CGGUUGAUGGUUCCCCAAGCUGGGGAUUAAAAGGGAAUCCGGUGAGAGCGUCCGCUCGAAUCCGGGGCUGCCCCCGCAACUGUCAUCGACGAGCAUUCCACCCGUAUCGCCACUGGCUUCGCGCCGGGAAGGCGGUGGAAGGCGCCGAGUCGAGAGCCAGGAGACCUGCCGCAACGUC
rnacentral:ncRNA from 1 species